rnacentral:rRNA from 1 species
GAGUUUGAUCCUGGCUCAGAAUCAACGCGGGAUAAGUGAUGCGCUUAACACAGGCAAGUCUUGAACGAGAAAGGGGAGCAAUCCCUGAGUAAAGUGGCGUACGGGUGAGUAACACUGGGGGUAAUCUGCCUUCUGGUGGGGGAUAACUCUGGGAAACCGGAGCUAAUACCGCAUAAGCCUGAAAAGGGAAAGGGGAAAUUCGCCGGAAGAGGAGCCCGCGGCUGAUUAGCUGGAUGGUGGGGUAACGGCCUACCAUGGCUGAAAUCAGUAGCCG